AAAGUGUCUCAGAACUGAAGAGACAAAUCUCUCUUCCUCGUAUCUCCUCUGAGCUUCAUCGGAAUCACCAUCUCCGGUGAACGCUACCAUGACCAAAGCCUUCCAAGAUAACAUCACGAGAUCCUCUUCUCCUCCUAUAUCAGAAGCCAUCGCCAUUUUCUUCCAAAGACCUCCCUAUCUCGUCAAAUAUUGGCUCAAAGUUUUCCGGCCAUGACCCAUCCUUGCCCAAAUCCCACCAAAUUUACACCAUAGGAUCGUUCACCAUCCUCUACAUAACCCCUAUGACCUUUUGUCUCGAAUGUAGCCGGACGGUCUCGAAUAUUAGUUUUUAUUUAUCUGGCCAAAACCCUAAAACGACCAAAGCAAACGCAAUUGACGUCAAAGGAUCCCUGGGAUUUCCUCGUGAGGAUUUGAUCGUCAUUAAAGCCAAGCAUCAUCAGGAUUGGCUGAAUUUUGAAGUAGUGGCUGGACGUAUUUGAAUUUCAGUUAACCGUAUUCUUGUUGAUAUCGUUUCAAUUCUAGUGAGUUUUUUUUAUUUGUGUUUUUAUCUUCUCAAAUGUUAGUCUUCAGAUUAAUGUGUGUCAAUUGUCGAUAAUUCUUCUCUACUUCUGUAGUUUACUGCUUAUAUGUCUAGAUUUUAGCUAAAGUCUGCCGUUAAUUUUUUUCUAUUUGACUUUUAUUUCUAGCCUUGGUCUUGAUUAAUUGAUGCUUUGGUAGGAUAGAUUUUAUUUCAGUGUCAUUUUUGUUUGUGUUGAGGUCUCAUCAGUGAUCAUUCUGGGGCAUUAGAUUUUCUACCUAUUAGUUAGAUUAGUGUAAGUGUAGUGGUGCUUGUUUAGCUUUGAUAUUUAGACUUGUUGCUUAAUAAUCAGGCAGUGAUAAAGUAGGAUUUUUUUUAGCUAUAAUUUAAUUCAUAGUUUAGAAAGUAGUUUGGUCAUAAGGACAGGAGGGUAAUUCAGUGGUUAAUUCAAGAGGGAAAAAAUAGGAAAUUCAGGAAUGUAUAGGAAUUCUCUAGGAGCUUCUAGAUGGGGAUUUGUAAGUAAUUUGGAGGGAAUAGUGGUAUUUACUUGUAUGGCAAGUUAGAAAUAAAAGGGGUAAAAUUUAAAAGAGGGAAGGGCUAGAGGGAAAUAAAAACUUGCUUGGUUGUCUAUAAAAGGCAUUUCAUUUGCCUUGUUAAGGGGUCUUCAUUUUUUUCCAGCCAAAAACAGCUUUUAAUUCUGAUCCAGUUCCCGAUUUUCUAGUUUAAAAUUUUAUCUUGUUCUAUACAAAAAAUUCGAAAAAAUCAGUAAUGAUUUCUAGAAAACAAAACAGAAACAAAGAAAAUUUAGUAAAAAAGAAAACCCACACACUGGUACUGUUCCCUCGAGUCAAGGCUCCAGCUCAAAGUUCAUUAACUGUUUGAUAUUUUAUUGGUUUGAUUUCAAGUUGUUAAGGUUCCACUGAGGCUUAUCAGUACAAUUUUGAGCUAUUUGGGGUGAUUCUGGGUUAACUUGUUGGUUCUAAUUGAUUUCAAAACAUUCCUAGACUCUACAUUCAUCCCUGGUUUCAAGUUUAGCAUGGAUUUGGGUUGGUGAAUUAUCUCUGGAUUGCUGCUUGCCGUUUUCUGUGCCGAACCUCGUUUUCAUUCUUAUUUUGCAAUCUCCGGGUACACACUCAAUCAUUGUAUUGACAUAGCUAGAAAUGGAGACAUUGACAAUUUAUAUGUUCAUUUAGUUCAGUAACAGUAGUCAAUAAUUGUUUUAUUUUGCUUUGGUUUUGCAUUCAUUAUGCCUAGUUUGACUUAUGGAUGAAAUUUAUUAAUAUGGACUAUGUAGAUUAGUUUUUUUUGUUUUGUUUAAUAAAAAUAAUUUGGGCUAGUUGGAUUUAUAUGUGCAAUGGAUGUAGUUGCUAUCUGUAGCCAGUACCCAUUCUCGUGCUAGUAUGUUUUUCACCUAAAGCUUGAAGUUGAAACUCAUGAAUAGCUGAAACUUACUGUUAAUUUGGGUUCCAUAUCGAGAAUUGUGUCUCUGUGAGUUUACUACUUCAUAAGUGGUUUUGGUAAUUGAAGGAAUUGGUAUCAUGAAUUGAGCAUAUGAUUUUGUUAGUUAAUUGGUUUAAGUUAGUUAGCCAUUAGAUAAUUGUGUAUCUGCAGAGUAUUACUUUAAGUUUUAAGACUUGCCAUCCAAGUUAUGUCAAUCAGAAUUAAGUAUACAGUGUUUCAUUUAUUGAAUGUGUUCAUGAGAUGUUGGCUAAUGCGUGCAAAAGUUGAGCAGGGCAUCCCAGCUAUAGGGAUUCGACCCC
rnacentral:lncRNA from 1 species